AAAAUGGCCAAAAAGCACAGGUUUUAUUCCAAUUGCAUAUGAAAGUCCAAACCAAAAUCGGGGCUGAAAGAAGAGUAAAACAAAUAUAGCGAAUGACGGGCGCGCAAUAAGAUAAAAUUGAAGGUUAUUCUUUAUUGUAAACAAAAAAGCAAGUGUUAAGCGGCAGAGUGAGAGACACACACACAUACACAAGCACACACACGCACUCAUAGAGUGAUAGAGCAGGAGAGCUAGAACGGGCGCUGGAAAGAGAGCGCAGAUAAGAGAAGAGCGCAGCUCUGGGCAGAGAAAGAAAGCAGCGCACAAAGCAAACGCUGAAAAUGUCAAUAAACUCUGCAAAAGGUGAAAAAUCAACGCUGCGACUGCAAUUUUCUCGUGCAAUAAUUUUCGGAAAAUCCACGCCACCCAAAACCCCCAUUGUGCAAAAAGGAAUCUACACAAAUUUUCUACGUAAAAAUAUUUAAUAAAAAAUGUUUAGUGUUUAAUAAAAAAAUGUGGUGCAAACAAUAAUCAAUUACAUAUUAAACUAAUCAAAAAGCGUUCUGGCCUUGGUGCCGGACCCACAAAAACAACAACAAAAAGUCUUAUCAGCAACGGAAAAUCGUUUAGGGAAAAUCCACCACGAAGAAGAAUCUUUUAGACUGAACCAAAAGCGGACAAUUGGAAUAUAAUAAUUAUUAACUUUUAAAAUGUUUUACAACACAAUGGAACUGCAUCAACGAC